UUAGAAGAAGCCAAUUAUCAAAGGCAAUUUACUGUUAAUAAAUUAUUAGAUUUUUUAUAAUCCUUCUAAA
rnacentral:tRNA from 1 species